rnacentral:lncRNA from 1 species
AAGCCCUCAGAUCUCAUAGCUUAUAUAGAAUCAUCCACAGUUUUCAUCACAUGUUUCAUCCACAGCCUUCUUGCAUUCCUCCACACACACACACAAUUACAGAGGGAGAGACAUAGAGGAGAAUAUAGGGGGGAGAGAGAGAGAGAGAGAGAGAGAGAAAUGCAGAUCAGGUUGUGAACAAAACUGUGUAACCGUUCAAUAGUUUAUCGAUACAUCACUGGGAAGGAGAACCAACGAUUUACUCUAUUAACACAGUUUAGUGCUAUAGGAUAGACCUUAAUUUUCAACUUAAAUAAUUGGCAUAAUUUUUGUUCUGAUUAAUUUACCAAACAAAGAAAUCAUAAUUUCAACUUGAAAACAACCUUUCAAAAAAAACUUGAAAACAAGGAAAUCAUAUACCAAACAACCAUAAUUGGAGCUAAAUUUUGAUCAAUAUCAUAAUGAGCAAAAGCUUGCAUCUAGCAAAAUUACCACAAAAACAUAUUUUCAUUAAUUGAGACAAGUACAAAAAAAAUUAACCUUACUAGAAAAUAAACAAGAUCAUAAUUGAAAAAUUGAGAUUUUAGAAUCACCAUACUAACUACACAAACAGAAAAACAUUGUAUCCAAAGCCCUCAGAUCUCAUAGCUUGCACACGAGAUUCACCCACAACCUUCUUGCAUUCCUCCAAAUAUAUGCACAUACAAACACAUUCACAACACACACAUACACACAGGGAGAGACAAAAAAAGAGGGAGAGAGAGUGAGAGAGAGAGAGAGAGAGAUGUAGAUCAGGUUGUGAACAAAACCGUGUAACCGUUCAAUAGUUUAUUGAUACAUCAUUGGGCAAGAUAGCCAAGAAUUGACUCUAUUAACACAUGAAGCACUAUUUUAUUAUAGAAUUUAAUUUUCAACUUAAACAAUCAAAUUUAAUUUAGUUCUGAUUCUUAGCCCUCAAUUUAAACUUGAAAACAAUGAAAUCAUAAAACAAACAGGCAUUUCAUAACGGUCAAAAAUUUGCAUCUAGCAAAAUUACCUCAAAAACAUAAUUUCUUUAACUAAGACAAAUACAUAAAAAAAUAACCUUACUAAAAAAAUAAACAAAAUCACAACUAAGAAGGUGAGAUUUUUAAAUCACCCUUCUAACUACACAAACAGAAAAAGUUUGUAUCCAAAGCCCUUAUAUCUCAUAGCUUAUAUAUAAAUUUUAAUUAAUGAUACAAGUACGAUAUAGUUUGAAUAAGAUGGGUAAGAUAAAGCUUUCUAGGCUACGCAUUUCCAUCAAUAUUGCAGUCUUAAACUGAUUUCACAUUCACCCAUAUAAAGUACAAAAAACGAAAAAGUUAGUAUCCAAAGCCCUCAGAUCUCAUAGCUUAUAAAAUCAUAUACGGCUUUCAUCACUGGAUUCAUUCACAACCGUCUUGCAUUUCUCCAAGUUCACACAAACACACACACAUGAUAAGACAAAGAGAGAGGAAGGAAGAGAGAGAGAGAGAGAGAGAGAGAGAGAGAGAGAGAGAGAUGCAGUUCAGGUUGUGACUAAAACCGCGUAACCGUUCAAUUAUUAUUUAUCUAUACAUCAUUGGGCAAGAUAACACAAAAAAAAAACCCUAUUUUUUAAAUAAUUAUGAUAUAACCUAUUUUAACUACAUUAAGAAAUUUCAGUGUUAAAAGCCUAAUUUUUUUUUUCAGUUUUGAAUUUCUAAUAAAACAAACUUAAAUCUUAUCAAAACCAGCACAGUUUGACCUAAAAUUUAAUCAUAUUCAUACGGAACAAAAACUUGCAUAUAGCAAAGUUACCUGGAAAUAUAACAGCUUAUCCUAAUUCAAAUAAAUUAAAAAAGAACCUUAAUGAACAAUAUAGACAAACACUUAAAAUUGCAAAGGAAAUCAGAAAUUAAGAAAUGCCAUAAUAAGUACAUUUGAAAAUUGAAAUUACAAUGACAAAAACUAUUAGAAACAUUUAGACUGUUGUGAAGAAUAAGGGGCAAGAUAUUGGAUUGCAACAAAAACCCUCAGAUCUCAUAGCUAAGAAUAAAUCAUCUGCAGCUUAUGACAAUGGCUUCAUUCACAGCCUUUGUGCACGAUCUCAAUAUUUUCUUUAUGUAAAGUAUAGAUAUAUAUUGGAGACAUCAUGAAUGAAUGAAUGAAUGAAGGGAGGGAGGGAGGGAGGGAGGGAGAGAGAGAGAGAGAGAGAGAGAGAGAGAAGAGGUGCACGUCAGGCUAUAAACAAAAGCAUGUAGCUUCUCAAUAAUCUAUUUGUCCAUCAUUGGGUAGCAAACCAUGUAGUUUCCAGAAUAUGAAGUUCUUUGAGAAGAAACUAGUGCUUUGGUUCUACAUGUUUUAAAUAUAAAAAGAAAAUAGACAAUAAAAAAGUCCAUAGCUGUAACAAUAUGAGCAGUUUAGACACAGAUAAAACAUUACAAUCUAAUUUUUCUAGACAUUUUAAAAGUGCAUAGAAUAGCUACAAGUUUUGGUUAAUUAUUCGAUUAAAAUGCGGGUGAUUUAUCUGAUACAAAUUGUUUUAUCGAUUAAAAACUCAAGCAAUGGGAUUUAUAGAAAAAACAAACAAAAAUAAAAUUAAUACAAGGCCCUCAGAUCUCAUAGCUUAAUAAAUCAUCUACAGGUUUAACCACAGGUUUAAUGCAUAACCAUCUUGCACCUUAAUAAGUUGUUAUCCAAACAGAAAUCCAGAGACACACACACACACAUGGUAGAGCACGCACGCACGCACAGGGAUGGAUAGAAAAGAUUGAGAGAGAGAGAGAGAGAGAGAGAGAGGUGCAGAUCAAGUUAUGAACAAAACCCAUGUAGCUGCUCAAUAGUCUAUUUAUUCAUCAUUGGGCACAAUUACAGGAAAAGAUUCACAAUUGUUAUUUUCAAUUUCCCUCCUUUCUUAUUCAGUCAUUAUAUAGAGUAAAUGGAUGUCAACCACACAAGCAAAGCCUGACAAAUUAAUUAUUUAUCUGGAAGCAUCAAAUCAUUUAAAGGACCAAACAUUUCAGCAUAACAAAAUGGGUGAAGAUAAAAAAUUAAAAACAGCAACAAUAAGUAAGCUGUUUGAAAUAAAAAAAAGAAUGAAGAAUAUUAAAACAAAAAGUUCAAAAAUAAUUUAGAAAAAAUGGAUAAAAAUAAGUUUGAAGAAAAUGGGUCAGAUAAAGCUUUCUAGGCUAUGCAUUUCCAUCAAUAGUGCAGUCUAAAACUGCUCAGAGUCCAGUGCAUUAUCAUCAUUUAGUAAAUAUAAAAUCAAUAAAAGCAACAAAAAACACAAAGAAACUUAAGCUGGGUAAAACAAUUUACCACACAAUAGUUCAAAACUCAAUUGUCGGAGAAAAUAACAGCUGAUAUAACCAUUGUAAUGAAAUAUUGCAUGCUAACUGAAAUUCAUAGACCAAUCUUAUAAAUUGCGAGGAGUUCCAAACAUUCAUUGAUGCAGCAUCUAUAUUUGCAAGGAAGAAAUUACUAUUAACUUAAAUGUCAACGAAUUGGAUGGUAUUGACGAACAUGGUUUAGUGUUAGUUCACAUAAAAAAUUUAGAAUUACACAUAUCAACAUUAUGGAUACAGUUUUAAAACAUGGAAAAGACAUUGAAAAGAAAAUUCUCAAACUAUUGACUUGAAAUUAAAAAUUUGGAAAAACAAAAGGUAAUACAAUUCAUUGUAAAAUCAAAUGGUAAAACAAAAAGGAAUAAAAUUCACCCUUCUAACGACACAAACAGAAAACAAUUGUACUCAAAGCCCUCAGAUCUCAUAGCUUAUAUAGAAUCAUCCACAGUUUUCAUCACAUGUUUAAUCCACAACCUUCUUGCAUUUCUCCACACACACACACACAGACACACAAGAACAGAGGGAGAAACAAAGAGGAGAAUAGAGGGGGAGAGAGGGGGAGAGAGAGAGAGAGAGGAGAGAGAAAUGCAGAUCAGGUUGUGAACAAAACUGUGUAACCGUUCAAUAGUUUAUUGAUGCAUCAUUGGGCAGGAGAACCAACAAUUUACUUUAUUAACACAGUAAGCGGCACGCUACUAGUAUAGACCUUAAAUUUCAACUUAAAAAUUGGUAUAACUUUUGUUCUGAUUCUUAGCUCUAUUAUACCAAACAAAGAAAUCAUAAUUUCAACUUGAAAACAAAGAAAUCAUAUACCAACCAAGCAUAAUUUGAGCUAAAUUUUGAUCAAUACCAUAAUGAACCUUACUAGAAAGAAAAAAUUAACCUUACUAGAAAAUAAAAAAGAUCAUAAUUAAAAAUUUGACAUUUUAGAAUCACCGUUCUAAUGACACAGACAGAAAAAGAUUGUAUCCAUAGCCCUCAGAUCUCAUAGCUUAUAUAGAAUCAUCCACGGCUUUUAUCACUGGAUUCAUUCACAACCUUCAUACAGAGAGGGAGGGAGGGAGGGAGGGAGGGAGGGAGGGAGGGAGAUAGAGAAAUAGAUAGAGAGAGAGAGAGAGAGAGAGAGAGAGAGGGAGAUAGAUAGAUAGAUAGAUGGAUGGAUAGAGAGAUGCAUAUCAGGUUGUGAACAAAACCGUGUAGCCGCUCAAUUGUUUAUUUAUACAUCAUUGGGCAGGAUAACAAAUCACAUAUACCAUUUAUAAAUUUCAAAGUUAAAAACCAAAUUUGUAUCAGUUCUGAGUUUCUGAUAGACUAAACAGUUAAGGACCUAUUUGGAUAAGCUUAUUUGAGCUUAAUAACUAGCAUAAGUUCUGUAAGAAUUUGUAGAACUUAUGUAAACAGAGUUUUAGCUUAGUGUCAUAAGUUCUCCAAGAUAUCUUCUGAAAAAAAACUUAUUACAUACACAAAGGGCCCGUUUGGACUGGCUUAUUUUUAAGCUUAUACAAAUAAAUAUGCUUUUAUGAUUAAAUCAUAUUUUUGGGCCUGUUUGAUUAGGCUUAUUUUGAAAUUAUUCACCUUAUGCAAAUAAAUAAGCUUUAAUGUAUUAUUCAUAAGCUAGUCAAUGUAGUUUAUGAUAUUUAAUUUUCAUUAGUGAAAACAUAUAAAUUAACAUAAAAGCUUAUUUAUUUGCAUAAGCUAUUUUUUCACAAGCCCACGAAUAAGCCAAUCCAAACGGGCCUUUGUCAAGGUGGUUUGUGAAAAACAACUUAUGAAGAUACCAUUUUCGUUAGUGAGAAAAUAAUGAAUUAACAUCAAAGCUUAUUUGCAUAAGCUUAUGAAUUAUACCAUUUUCGUUAGUGAGAACUUAAUGAAUUAACAUAAAAGCUUAUUUAUUUGCAUAAACUAUUUUUCAUAAGCUCAAAAAUAAGUUAAUCCAAACAGGCCCAAAAAAAUUCAACUUUUGCUAUAGAAAUAGCUUACACAGAACACUAAACUAUUAUUACAUAUAAGCAAAACCAGCACAGUUUGAACUAAAAUUACAUCAUAUUCAUAUAGAUGCAAGACCAAAAACUUACAACUAGCAAAAUCAAAAACACACUCAUAUUCUAAUUCUGAUAUAUAAAUUUAAUGUUCAAAACAAUGAAAAUUAGAAAACAGAAAUAAAAAAAAUUAACAAAUGAAACAGAAAAUUAACAUACUCAAAAACAUAAUUUGACCUAAAACUUCAUCAAAUUCAUCCAAAUACAUUUUUUUCCAGUUGCAAUUCUGAAUUAUCAAAUUUAAGAUUAAACUUUUUAAACAAAGAUUAAUUCUAAAAGUUUAGGUAAAAAAAAUCUUACAUUUUUUACUAUUUACAGUAACGAUCAGCUUUCUUCUUAACACGAUCAUCAAGCACAUUUUCAACCGAUUUCACCUUCGUUUUUGGUUCAUACCCAAAUUUCUUAGCUUCAACCGGAAAAAGUUGAUCAUACUUCAUUUUCUUCGCUGCAUCGAUUCUGCCCCAUCAACUAGUUUUUCCGUGUUAUCUUCUUCGUGAAUUAGGGUUUCACCUUCGAGAUUAGGGUUUUUGUUCGUUUUCUUCUUGCGCUUUUUGUCGAUGGUUUUGGAGGUUGUGGCCAGGGUUCUUCCUAUGAAGAAUAAUUGACAUUGGGGUUUGGGGAAUUUACUUCUUUCUCUCUUUAAGUGUGCAGUUAAUAUUGAAGCGAGUGGUGUGUGAGGGUUAUGUGUGUUAGACUCUGUUUGGUAAAAAUAAGCUAGGAAGAAACAACGUGAACAGAUCCUUCAAAAAUAAUAGCUUCAACAACAACAAAAGAACGUGGGCAGUUAAUAGAGCAAGUAAGAAAGCAAAAACGUGUACAGAUCCUUCAACAACAACAAAAGAACGUGGGCAGUUAAUUUUACAAAAAAUAAUAUUAAGGUUAAAAAUGAAAGAAAAUAUAAAAAGUUAAAAACAAUAACUCAAAAGCUAUUUAAAAUAGCUUCUUACAAAAAAUUAUAAGCUCAUGAAAAAAGUUUGUUACCAAACACAUCUAAUUUUAUCAAGCAAGCUUAUAAACUAAUUCAAAAAACUAUAAACUAGUUUAUUUACGUUACCAAACACAGCCUUAGUGGGUGGGUUAGUAAGUGUGUCGUGUGUUUGGGAGACAAAUGGCUGACUAAGUCAACAAUUGGCAAUGGAAAAGAAGUUGUGAGCAUAGAAGAAGUAUAUGACAGGUGGAUUUGGAUUUUCUCCAUUGAGUCUCAAAUUUUCUCCAGUGUCAAUUUCCACAAUCAAUCUAAAUCGAAAUAAAAAAUCGUUAAAAGUUGUAUUUGAUCAUAUUUAAUUACACAUAAAUAGAAGGUGAACAGAUAACAAACUGUUAUGUUAGGCUUUUAUGGAUGACAAAAACAUUCAUGGACAUGUGAAAAAAUACCAACACAACAAAACUGUUUAAUCAGAUCUCUUCUGAACACAACACAACACUGUAUGAGCUUUUUUUACAAUUUGUUAAAAGAUAGUGAUAGUUAAAAUUAUGAAAAAAUAAACCACUUGUUUUUAACAAUUUGUUUUACCCAAGGCACAAGGUUUUUAAUUGAAGAUGGAUCCUUACUUAACAAAAAUCACUCCCCGUUAAGUGAGUAAUAUAUUAUUUUUAUAUAUGUAAAGUUAUUUGGAGCUACUUAAGCACUUUUGAUGAGUCCAUAUUAGUCUAUUAUCAUGAUUUCUUAAUAGGUACUUUCAUUAAAAAACUAAGUCAACGUGAGAUAAAGAGUCGAAAUUAUUGAACUACCAUUAUCGAUGCUGAGUAAUAGACCAAAUUGCUAAUUUGAUUCAAAUUCUACCAAAAAAUAAAUAAAAGAACUUCAACAGUAAUUUGUUACAGGACUUCAUUUGAAAAAUCCUUAAUUUGUAUAUGAACUAAAUGUAUUUCACUUUCAAUUAGUGUAGCUCAUUUUUAACUUCCCAUGACCUCAUUCGAAACUCCAUCGAAUCUAAAUGUAUCUUAAAAUAGGUUUGUGCCCAUCGGAUGUUACAUUAAAUCACACAGCAAUUUCGAAAUUGUUCCUAUGUCAAGAUAGUUUUUAAUGUUAAAAGAGAAUCUCCAUUCCAAUCUCAUCUAAACAAAAAAAAAAUAUCUCCAUUCUCAUCUCCAAUCCUACAACAUAAACAACCUACCACCUUCAACAAUAUAAAUGAAGAAAAACCCUAACACAAUAGUAUUACAUUGAAUAUGCAACAGCCACAGCCUAAAUUUAGUAAUUGAAUAAUCUAGGCCCUCUCUAGUUACAAAUGGUGAUCAUCAAAUGACCUUUCUUUCUCUAACUUCUUUUGUUACUCUUGUACCACAACUUCGUUCAAAGAGUAUUAUUGACAGAGUUUGAUAUCAAACAAAGUUACGAGUAUCAGUUUUAUAACUACCAUUCAUGGUUUUGACAACAGAGCCUGGCAUUGGCAUUUUCAUCAAGCUAAUAAUAUUGUCAUCUAAUCCUGCAAUAACAGAAGUGUUAAACAAUGAGGACAAAUUCAACCCAACCAAAAUUAGCAAAAGAAUGCUACCAGAAUUGAAACAUAUGUUGCCAAUAGUAAAAUAUAAAUCAUCUGCAAGGUAGAAAUGUGAGAUAUAAUGGAGAAUAUGGCUGUAAACAAAACCAGAUAUCCCCUCAAUAGUCUCGUCUAGUUCUCCAUCAGAGCAUCAAAACAGUAUUCCUUAUAACUAAACAUAGCAUUAGCAUAUCUUAUCAUUGUUAGCAAUAGGAACAAAGUCAAUCUCAUAGAAAAGUUGCAAUUAUAAGACAAAUCAAUAACCACAACACACAAACAAAAGGAAAAAGUCAUUAAACUUGUGCCAUAAUUAGUACACUAAAAAAUAAAAACAACUAUUAGAAACAUUUAGACUGUUGUUAAGAAUAAGAGGCGAGAUAUUGGAUUGCAACAAAAACCCUCAGAUCUCAUAGCUAAGAAUAAAUCAUAUGCAGCUUAUGACAAUGGCUUCAUUCACAGCCUUCGCACACCAGCUGAAUAUUUUCUUUCUAUAUAGUAUAGAUUAGUUUGAGAAAUAUCAUGAAUGAAUGGAAUGAGUGAGUGAGUGAGUAACCGAGACAAAUAGAGAGAGAGAGAGAGAGAGAGAGAGAGAGAGAGAGAGAGAGAGGUGCACGUCAGGCUAUAAACAAAACCAUGUAGCUUCUCAAUAGUCUAUUUGUCCAUCAUUGGGUAGCAAACCAAGUAGUUUUCAGAAUUUGAAGUUCUUUGAGCAGAAACUACUGUUUCGCUUCUACAUAUUGUUUUAAAUUUAAAAAGAAAAACAGACAGCAAAAAAGCUCAUAACUAUAACUAUAUGAGACAGCAUAGACAAUAACUACAAGUUUUGGUUAAUUACUCAUUUAAAACACAAGCAAUGGGAUUAUAAUAAACAACAAAAACAAAAACAAAAUUAAUGCAAGGCCCUCAGAUCUCAUAGCUUAAUAAAUCAUCUACGGGUUUAUCCACAAGUUUAAUUCAUAACCAUCUUGCACCUUAAUAAGUUGUUAUCCAAACAGAAGGCGGAAAUCCAGAGACACACACACACACAUGGUAGAUCACGCACGCACACAGGGAUUGAGAGAAAAAGAUAGAGAGGUGCAGAACAGGUUUUAAACAAAACCCAUAGAGCCGCUCAAUUGCAAGAAAAGAUUCACAAUUGUUAUUUUCAAUUUCCCUCCUUUCUUAUUCAGUCAUUAAAUAGAGUAAAUGGAUGUGAACCACACAAGCAAAGCCUAACAAAUUAAUAAUUUAUCUGAAAGCAUCAAAUCAUUUAAAGGACCAAACAUUUCAGCAUAACAGAAUGGGUGAAGAGAAAAAAUUAAAAACAGCAACAAUAAGUAAGCUGUUUGAAAUAAAAAAAUAAUGAAGAAUAUUAAAAAAAAAGUUCAAAAAUAAUUUAGAAAAAAUGGAUAAAAAUAAGUUUGAAGAAAAUGGGUCAGAUAAAGCUUUCUAGGCUAUGCAUUUCCAUCCAUAGUGCAGUUUAAAACUGCUCAGAGCCCAGUGCAUAUCAUCAUUCACUAAAAACAAAAGCAACAAAAAACUACACAUAAAAUGGGCAAAACAAUUUACCAGGCAAUAGUUCAAAACUCAACUGCCGAUGAAAAUAACAGCUGAUAUAAACGUUGUAAUGAAAUAUUGCAUGCAAACAUUCAUUGAUGCAGCAUCUGUAUUUGCACAGCAAGGAACUGCUAUUAACUAAAACGUCUACAAAUUUGUUAGAAUUAUACGUACGAUCAUUAUCAAUACAGUUAAGAUAAAAAAUUUAAACAUGGCAAAGAAAAUUGAAGAGAAAAUUCUCAAACUAUUGACCUGAAAUUAAGAAUUUAGAAAAACAAAAGGUAAAACAGUUCAUUGCUAGAAAAAACAGUAAAGCAAAAAGUAAAAAAAAUACCCUUCUAACAACACAGAGAAAAAGAUGGUACUCAAAGCCCUCAGAUCUCAUAGCUUAUAAAGAAUCAUCCACAGUUUUCAUCACAUGUUUCAUCCACAACCUUCUUGCAUUUCUCCAAACAAACACACACACACACACAAAAUCACAGAGGGAGAGACAAAGAAGAGGAUAGAGGGGAAGAGGGAGAGAGAGAGGGAGAGAGAGAGAGAGAGAGGGAGAGAGAGAACUGCAGAUCAUGUUGUGAACAAAACUGUGUAACCGUUCAAUAGUUUAUUGAUACAUCAUUGGGCAGGAGAACCAACAAUUUACUCUAUUAACACAGUAAGCGCUAUAGUAUAUAGACCUUAAUUUUCAACUUAAACAAUUGGCAUGAUUUUUGUUCUGAUUCUUAGUUCUCAAUUUACCAAACAAACAAAUCAUAAUUUCAACUAGAAAACAAAGAAAUCGUAUACCAAACAAGCAUAAUUUGAGCUAAAUUUUGAUCAAUAUCAUGACAAACCUUACCAGAAAGAAAAAAUUAACCUUAAUGGAAAAUAAACAAGAUCAUAAUUGAAAAUUUGACAUUUUAGAAUCACCGUUCUAAUUACACAAACAGAAAAAGAUUGUAUCCAUAGCCCUCAGAUCUCAUAGCUUAUAUAGAAUCAUCCACGGCUUUUAUCACAGGUUUCAUUCACAACCUUCAUACAGAGAGAGGGGGAUAGAUAGAGAAAUAAUAGAGAGAGAGAGAGAGAGGAAGAUAGAUAGAUAGAUAGAUAAGAGAGAGAGAGAGAGAGAGAGAGAGGUGUAGAUCAGGUUGUGAACAAAACCUGUAACCGUUCAAUUGUUUAUUUAUACAUCAUUGGGCAGGAUAACACAUUACAUACUCCAUUUAGAAAUUUCAAUGUUAAAAACCUAUAUUUUAUAUGUUCAGAGUUUCUAAUUGACUAGACACUUUUAAGGGCCUAUUUGGAUUAGCUUAUUUGAGCUUCAUAACUAGCAUAAAUUUUGUGAGAAUGUGUAUGAGAACUUAUGCAAACCGAUUUUUAUCUUAAGCUUACGAAAAGAGCUAUUUGCAUACACAAAGAACUAAAAGUUUGUAAAGGUGGUUUAUGAG